GACCACGAGAUCGUGACCUGAGCUGAAGUCGGACGCUUAACGACUGCGCCACCCAGGCACCCCUCUGCUAGAUUUUAUAUACGCAUUAGGGAUGUGAAAACUGAGUUUGCAUGACAUUAUUUAACGUUCAAGGUCAUGCAGACAAGAGCCAGAGCGGCCUGGAUCUGUCUGACUGUUCAUACCUUCGCGUUCCUCAGUGUAUGUCCUCUAACCUCUAUUUUGUUUUGGUAAUGCUGAUUCAGGAAUGAAUGAAAUAUGUUCAGCCCUACUGGAUCCUAUCAUGUCUUCAAGCUUCCAAGAGAGAUUAUUAUAGUUGGGAUUUAAAAAAAAAAUCCCCUUUCAAGUUCACAUAUUUAUGAAUGUGUCAAUGAACACUUUAAGAAUGUAUCUAUCAAUAUCAAAUGUGGUUUUUAGCAGAAACCUUGAAAAAAUUGCAGAAUUAUCCUCUGAAAUAUUGCCGCUAUUAUUUUUUAAAAUUGCAAGAAAAUGUUCUGCCAUUUCAGACCAUUUAUCUCUGUUAACAAGACACUUUUUUAGUUGGAUAGAUAAUGUACACCCAUCUGGUCUGCCGUUUCUUCAUUUACUGUGGUAAUAAUAACUAAAGGCAUUUCUCCAUUGCUUUGGCAAUGCCCAGGCCAAUCUUUCCCCUUUCCUGCUGUUGAUGUGGGAUGCAGAAAACAAAACCAAAAAUGUGACCUGGUUAUACUACACAGACGUGCCAUUUAGGAUGUCAUUUCAGUGUUUAUGAGGGAACAGUGUCUAAGUGUUAAUGAAAGCAGAAGCUUAUCGAAAACAUCCCUCGCUACUCAGGAAAGACACGGGCAAACGUCCGCAAAUAUUUCUGUGCUCUUAGCAGACACUACCCCAUUCUUACAGCUUCUCUUUCACAGAGCUCUCCAGUACGAGGUCUACACCUUUGCAGAAAAAUGUGUGUCAUUCAGAUUUUUUGCCUGAGUUGGGCAGUCACAAAAGAGAAUUACAAAGAGCUGGACCCACCCUGCACUUGGCUUUAGCGCUGUUUACAACACAACAAGAAGAGAAGCGUUGAGAGACAAUUUUCUGAAUAAUUCAAGAGUUGCGCGUUGGCAUACAUUUUGCCUGGGAAUUCUAGAAGGGAUUAAAAAAGAAAAGAAAUUAAAGGGUAACAUUGAUCCAGUGUCAAAGCCAUACAUAUGCAUGGCGCCAUUGUGCAUGCUCAGAUGUAUUAAUGCUAGAAAAUAGGAUUCAAAGCAGUUUGAGAAAGUAUUUGAGAUGUGAGUAACGUCUACAACAGAGGGAAACGCCAUAAUAUGAGUGGGCCUCAUCUAGUCCAUCGAAGGCAAGAGAGCAAAAACAAGUUUCUCAGACAAGAAGGAAUUCUACUUCAAAUCCCACCUGCGUUUCUAGCCUGUCAGCCUGCCCUACCAAUUUCAGACUUGCCACCCAAUUAUG